rnacentral:rRNA from 1 species
CAGGCCUAACACAUGCAAGUCGAACGGUGGCAGCAAUGUCAUAGUGGCGCACGGGUGCGUAACACGUAGCUAACCUACCCAGAACUGGGGGAUAGCCCGCCGAAAGGCGGAUUAACACCGCAUAACAUCUACUAGUGGCAUCACUAGUUGAUUAAAUCUACGGAGGUUCUGGAUGGGGCUGCGGGUCAUUAGCUAGUUGGUAAGGUAACGGCUUACCAAGGCGACGAUGACUAGGGGAGCUGAGAGGCUGGUCCCCCACACGGGCACUGAGAUACGGGCCCGACUCCUACGGGAGGCAGCAGUAGGGAAUAUUGGGCAAUGGGCGAGAGCCUGACCCAGCCAUGCCGCGUGCAGGAAGAAGGCUUUCUGAGUCGUAAACUGCUUUUGAUAGGGAAGAAUAAGCACUACGUGUAGUGUGAUGACGGUACCUACAGAAUAAGCACCGGCUAACUCCGUGCCAGCAGCCGCGGUAAU